rnacentral:rRNA from 1 species
GACGAACGCUGGCGGCGCGCUUCAUACAUGCAAGUCGAACGAGAACCCCCGGGCUUGCCCGGGUGGACAGUGGCGAACGGGUGAGUAACACGUGAGCAACCUGCCCCGAAGACCGGGAUAACACCGGGAAACCGGUGCUAAUGCCGGAUGUCUUCGCUGAACCGCAUGGUUCGGCGAAGAAAUGGAUUCCGCUUCGGGAUGGGCUCGCGGUCUAUCAGCUUGUUGGUGGGGUAACGGCCUACCAAGGCAACGACGGAUAGCUGGUCUGAGAGGAUGUCCAGCCACACUGGGACUGAGACACGGCCCAGACUCCUACGGGAGGCAGCAGUAGGGAAUCUUGCGCAAUGGGCGAAAGCCUGACGCAGCGACGCCGCGUGCGGGAUGACGGUCUUCGGAUU